AACGAACGCUGGCGGCAUGCCUAACACAUGCAAGUCGAACGAGACCUUCGGGUCUAGUGGCGCACGGGUGCGUAACGCGUGGGAACCUGCCCUUAGGUUCGGAAUAACUCCCCGAAAGGGGUGCUAAUACCGGAUAAUGUCUUCGGACCAAAGAUUUAUCGCCUUUGGAUGGGCCCGCGUUGGAUUAGCUAGUUGGUAGGGUAAAAGCCUACCAAGGCGACGAUCCAUAGCUGGUCUGAGAGGAUGAUCAGCCACACUGGGACUGAGACACGGCCCAGACUCCUACGGGAGGCAGCAGUGGGGAAUAUUGGACAAUGGGCGAAAGCCUGAUCAAGCAAUGCCGCGUGAGUGAUGAAGGCCUUAGGGUUGUAAAGCUCUUUUACCCGGGAUGAUAAUGACAGUACCGGGAGAAUAAGCUCCGGCUAACUACGUG
rnacentral:rRNA from 1 species